rnacentral:lncRNA from 1 species
CGGCGGAGUCCCGGUGCGAUUUUUGGGACUUCCGGCGAGUUACGGCAGUUUGUUUUGGGAAACUGAUCUCCGUGGGUUUGUUAGCGGGAUUACGAUGUAGUAUUUCUUAGUUGUGGGUUAGACACUAAUCCAGAGGACCUUCCUUAGGUCCUGUUGACGUUCUUUUGCAGUCAGGAGACAGGCGCGACAGUUGUACAGGUGGGUACUUCGAUCCGACGUCGGUACAGUGGUGCACGUUCGGUGAUGGUUUCUUACCCUUGCUCCUUUGUUAUUAUCCAUGCAUACGUUAUAUAUUGAGCUUUGCACCUCUGUUGUUUACAUUACACCCACGUUGUUUGAUUAUACUCUACUCGUUGUUUGCAUGCUUAGUAUCCUGAGUAGGAGUAGAGUAGUUCUAUCCGCAUCCGUAUCGGUUGACCUAGUUGGUCUGUUGAGCAUCCGUAUCUGUUGACCUAGUUGGUCUGUUCUGCAUUCCUCUACUCAGUUAGUUCCAUAUUGAUAUCAUGCUUAGGAGUAGAGUUGACUUAUCGGUUCACUAUAUCUGUGAUUUGGUUGGGCGGUUCCCUUAUUUUGAUAUCUAUGACCUAUUCGGUCGAGUUGCUACAGUUCUAUCUAUAUCUGUGAUUUGGUUGGGCGGUUCCCCUAUUUUGAUAUCUAUGACCUAUUCGGUCGAGUUGCUACAGUUCUAUCUUGACAUACGUAGCCGAUUAGUUGCUGAUGGCCUAAACGGUCGGUGUGCCCUGAGGGGCUGGAUUGUCGGCUAGUUGCCGAUGGAUGAUCUUUGAGCAUACUACAUUGAUCGCCACUGCAGGUACGCAUUUCAC